AACGCGAAGAACCUUACCAGCCCUUGACAUGUCCAGGACCGUCGCAGAGAUGUGACCUUCUCUUCGGAGCCUGGAACACAGGUGCUGCAUGGCUGUCGUCAGCUCGUGUCGUGAGAUGUUGGGUUAAGUCCCGCAACGAGCGCAACCCCCGUCCUUAGUUGCUACCAUUUAGUUGAGCACUCUAAGGAGACUGCCGGUGAUAAGCCGCGAGGAAGGUGGGGAUGACGUCAAGUCCUCAUGGCCCUUACGGGCUGGGCUACACACGUGCUACAAUGGCGGUGACAAUGGGACGCUAAGGGGCAACCCUUCGCAAAUCUCAAAAAGCCGUCUCAGUUCGGAUUGGGCUCUGCAACUCGAGCCCAUGAAGUUGGAAUCGCUAGUAAUCGUGGAUCAGCACGCCACGGUGAAUACGUUCCCGGGCCUUGUACACACCG
rnacentral:rRNA from 1 species